rnacentral:tRNA from 1 species
AUUCUAAUAGCUUAUAUUUUAGAGCAUGAUAGUGAAGUUAUCAAAGAGAUUUUUUAUCUUAGAAUA